CCUGCCCGUCGCGGAGGUCCCCUUGCCAUUGGCCCGUGUAGACGGCACCGGCGGCGUAGCGGCAGGUGCCGUGGCCUUGCUUGCGGCCACGGUGCCAGUCGCCCUCGUAGACGGUGCCCGUGGCGUGGCGAUAGGUACCUCAGCCGUGUUUGUGCCCGUCCACCCAGUCGCCGUCGUAGGUAGUGCCCGAGGCAAAGGUAUAGAUGCCGUGGCCGUGGCGCACGCCAUCCCUCCAGUCGCCCUCGUACGACGACCCGUCGGCAUAGCGACAGACGCCGUGGCCGUGGUGACGUCCGGCAUUCCACUCGCCCUCGUAGGUGGUGACGCCGUCUGCCGAGCGCUGGGACCCCUGGCCGCACAAAAGGCCGUGCUCAAAUUGGCCCUCGUAGACGGCCCCGCACGGUUCGGUGCGCACGCCCCGGCCAUGGUGCCUGUUUGACCUCCACUCGCCCUCGUAGAUGGUGCCGUUGGCGUAGCGGCUCGUCCCAUGCCCGUGCCGUGCGUUGUCUUGCCAAUGGCCCUCGUAGACGCCUCCGUCGGCAAAGCGCGCGACGGCGUACCCGUGGCGCUGGCCCUCCUUCCAGCCGCCCUCGUAGCGGGUCCCCAAGCCAUCAAUAUGGACGCCGUGGCCGUGGUAUCUGCCGGCCUUCCACUGGCCCUCGUAGGAGCGUGCGGCGCCUGCGGCUCCCAUGUCGUCGACAACGUGCGGAUCGUGGACCGCGCUCCUCGCGGGAUGCGGUGCGUCGGCGCAAUGUAUGCUUGGCAGGCGCAGGCACACGCCGUACCCGUCGGACAGGCCAUCGACGAGAUCGCCCCAGUAGACCCAGGCCCUUUUCGUCCUCUCGGGCGGGCGCGCAAUCACGUCGACGAGACACGCGCCGACAUCAUCGACCCGGCCAUCGGCGCGGGCGACCGAGGCCUGCGCGCGAUAGAGCCAGCGCCAGUCCUUGCCGGCGUCUUGAAAGCGUGCAUGGAGCAGAUGCGCGCCAAAGCGCGCGCGGCAGAGGUCGCGCCAUACGAGCGGGUCCAUGGCGAGGCGACGGUGGCGUGUGCACGUCGAGGCCCAUCGCACGACGGCGCCGGCAUCGGCCGUCGCCGCGAGUAUCGCCACGACGAGUUCGUCGGGCAGCCGGUCGAAAAGAUUAUCAAGGCGGUCGAGAGAGCGAGUCCUCGGCCUCUUGUUGGUGGCGGCCCGAUAGAGGGCGUGCGGUCGGUCGCCAGAUGGAUGCUCGCCGCCCGGACGCCUUUUCACCCCUCUGUCGCCGUCCAUGACUUUUCUUUGUUCUUUUUUUUUAAAAAAUUAUUUUUUUAUAGUAUUUGCAUUACAAUAGGGAACAAAGCCGAGCCCUUGGGAGCCUCUUGUUGUUGGCCGCAGGCUUUUGUUUUUUUUUAUUUUCGG
rnacentral:lncRNA from 1 species